rnacentral:rRNA from 1 species
AUUGAACGCUGGCGGCAGGCCUAACACAUGCAAGUCGAACGGUAACAGGAAGCAGCUUGCUGCUUUGCUGACGAGUGGCGGACGGGUGAGUAAUGUCUGGGAAACUGCCUGAUGGAGGGGGAUAACUACUGGAAACGGUAGCUAAUACCGCAUAACGUCGCAAGACCAAAGAGGGGGACCUUCGGGCCUCUUGCCAUCGGAUGUGCCCAGAUGGGAUUAGCUAGUAGGUGGGGUAACGGCUCACCUAGGCGACGAUCCCUAGCUGGUCUGAGAGGAUGACCAGACACACUGGAACUGAGACACGGUCCAGACUCCUACGGGAGGCAGCAGUGGGGAAUAUUGCACAAUGGGCGCAAGCCUGAUGCAGCCAUGCCGCGUGUAUGAAGAAGGCCUUCGGGUUGUAAAGUACUUUCAGCGGGGAGGAAGGGAGUAAAGUUAAUACCUUUGCUCAUUGACGUUACCCGCAGAAGAAGCACCGGCUAACUCCGUG